rnacentral:tRNA from 1 species
GCUCAGCUGGCUCAGUUGGUAGAGCAUGAGACUCUUAUUCUCAGGGUUGAAUGUUUAAGGCCAAUGUUGGGCA